AUACGGAGGGUGCAAGCGUUACUCGGAAUCACUGGGCGUAAAGCGCGCGCAGGCGGUCUUUUAAGUUGGAUGUGAAAGCCUACGGCUCAACCGUAGAACUGCAUCCAAAACUAUUAGACUAGAGUGUGGGAGAGGAAGAUGGAAUUAGUUGUGUAGGGGUAAAAUCCGUAGAGAUAACUAGGAAUACCAAAAGCGAAGGCAAUCUUCUGGAACACUACUGACGCUGAAGCGCGAAAGCGUGGGGAGCAAACAGGAUUAGAAACCCUUGUAGUCC
rnacentral:rRNA from 1 species